UACGUAGGGUGCGAGCGUUAAUCGGAAUUACUGGGCGUAAAGCGUGCGCAGGCGGUCCGCAAAGUCUGAUGUGAAAGCCCCGGGCUCAACCUGGGAACUGCAUUGGAAACUAACGGGCUCGAGUGUGGCAGAGGGGGGUGGAAUUCCACGUGUAGCAGUGAAAUGCGUAGAGAUGUGGAGGAGCACCGAUGGCGAAGGCAGCCCCCUGGGCUAACACUGACGCUCAGGCACGAAAGCGUGGGGAGCAAACAGG
rnacentral:rRNA from 1 species